rnacentral:rRNA from 1 species
GUGCCAGCAGCCGCGGUAAUACGUAGGGUCCGAGCGUUGUCCGGAUUUAUUGGGCGUAAAGAGCUCGUAGGCGGCUCAGUAAGUCGGAUGUGAAAACUCAGGGCUCAACCCUGAGACGCCAUCCGAUACUGCUGUGGCUUGAGUCUGGUAGGGGAGAACGGAAUUCCAGGUGUAGCGGUGAAAUGCGCAGAUAUCUGGAGGAACACCGAUGGCGAAGGCAGUUCUCUGGGCCAGUACUGACGCUGAGGAGCGAAAGCGUGGGGAGCAAACAGGAUUAGAUACCCCCGUAGUCC